UACGGAGGGAGCUAGCGUUGUUCGGAAUUACUGGGCGUAAAGCGCGCGUAGGCGGCUUUGUAAGUUAGAGGUGAAAGCCCGGGGCUCAACUCCGGAACUGCCUUUAAGACUGCAUCGCUUGAAUCCGGGAGAGGUGAGUGGAAUUCCAAGUGUAGAGGUGAAAUUCGUAGAUAUUCGGAAGAACACCAGUGGCGAAGGCGGCUCACUGGACCGGUAUUGACGCUGAGGUGCGAAAGCGUGGGGAGCAAACAGG
rnacentral:rRNA from 1 species